GCUGCCUCUAGAGGUAUUGCAGGUGUGGCUGCUGUGUCACAGGUUUGUGAGGAGGUGAAAGAAAGGAGAGAGGCUAUGCCUAUGCUCAACGUUCUAACCUGUGACCAUCUGAAUGAUUGUAGCCAUCCUAG